AGUGAACGCUGGCGGUAGGCCUAACACAUGCAAGUCGAACGGCAGCACAGUAAGAGCUUGCUCUUACGGGUGGCGAGUGGCGGACGGGUGAGGAAUACAUCGGAAUCUACUUUUUUGUGGGGGAUAACGUAGGGAAACUUACGCUAAUACCGCAUACGACCUACGGGUGAAAGCAGGGGAUCUUCGGACCUUGCGCGAUUGAAUGAGCCGAUGUCGGAUUAGCUAGUUGGCGGGGUAAAGGCCCACCAAGGCGACGAUCCGUAGCUGGUCUGAGAGGAUGAUCAGCCACACUGGAACUGAGACACGGUCCAGACUCCUACGGGAGGCAGCAGUGGGGAAUAUUGGACAAUGGGCGCAAGCCUGAUCCAGCCGUACCGCGUGGGUGAAGAAGGCCUUCGGGUUGUAAAGCCCUUUUGUUGGGAAAGAAAAGCAGCAGGUUAAUACCCCGCUGUUCUGACGGUACCCAAAGAAUAAGCACCGGCUAACUUCGUG
rnacentral:rRNA from 1 species